rnacentral:rRNA from 1 species
GCCUACGGGGGGCAGCAGUGAGGAAUAUUGGUCAAUGGGCGGGAGCCUGAACCAGCCAAGCCGCGUGAAGGAAGAAGGCGCCAGGCGUCGUAAACUUCUUUUGUCGGGGAACAAAGGGCGCCACGCGUGGCGUCGUGAGUGUACCCGAAGAAAAAGCAUCGGCUAACUCCGUGCCAGCAGCCGCGGUAAUACGGAGGAUGCGAGCGUUAUCCGGAUUUAUUGGGUUUAAAGGGUGCGCAGGCGGAAGAUCAAGUCAGCGGUAAAAUUGAGAGGCUCAACCUCUUCGAGCCGUUGAAACU